ACGACACAUUUUCUUCUUGAUAAUUAGAUGCGACUGUUGUAGACAACUGUUAUAACGAGGCAUUAUUGGCAUUUGUUUACUGCAGUUACUAAGGAAUGCAUUUAUAUUUAUCUCACACAAACGUAAUAGUAUUACUUUUGCGUAGGUGU
rnacentral:lncRNA from 1 species